rnacentral:lncRNA from 1 species
UUCAGAGUCCACAGGACAUCGACCACAUGUACAGCAAGAGGCCUUACAGCUCUCCACCCAGAGAGCAUGUUAAUGUGAGUGAAGAUUAACCCAAGAAAACAACAUAUCCAGUGUUCACAGUUGUGCACUAAGCCAUGACUUUGUGUGUCUUGAUUAAGGACUAUAAUGACAGCAUGGACUAACAUGAUGUGGUCACCACAACCAGAGACGUUGGGAUCCUGAGUGAAGACGCAUCUUUCGACAGGCUUGUGGUGAGGACAUGCAAAGGAUCAACAAACAACAAAUCUUAUUUGAUAUACUUAACCAGAAUAAUUACGUUUAACAUCUGAAUGCUGUUUGAUCAAAUUUUAGGAAAGGGCUCAGCAAGCUGAACACCAUAGAAAAGUCACUAGUGACCUUCAUGUAACGUUCAUCACUCAGGAUAACGGUCUACUGCAACAUCUUGAAGUGAGUUUGAAAAUGGAAUUUAAGUCACAUAGUGUAACUAAUUUUGGUCAAAAUAUGUUAAAUGAAUGAUUUAAGUGAAACAUUUUCUGUUAGCCUAGUGUUCGUACAUUUAUUUUGAGCAUUCUCCUAAGAAAUAUAUAUAUUUACAGGCGGUCAUCACAUGAAAAGUUACAUCCUCAUGGGCAACAUCAAAGGGCAGGGUGAUCAUUUUCUUUGUGGAGGAUGAGCAGCUGGACAGAGUGCUGGGCUUCUUGACAAGCCUGGUUGAAGCACAGACAACCAGGUGUCACAAUCACGUGGCAUUUGUUAUGGAUGUGCUUCUGCCAGAGUUACCUGUUGAGGUGUGUUUUCCUUCAGUCUGGAGUCCUGAGGAGAAAUUCAGAAAAGGAAAAUCAAUAUAAAGCAGCUUUUUGAUUGGAGGACAGCUGUGGACCGAACCAACACUCUCAGGUUGUUUUGUGAAAAAUGUUCUUGGGCCUCAGAUAAAUUUCAGUGGAAGCCCUCUGGAGUCAUUUUACCAGUUCAUUACAGGUGAGAUGAACAUUUGAACACACAAGUCGGCAGACUGGUUCAUAAAGGGUUAAAGUUAUAGUCUUAACAUUUUAAGAAGUAUGCUCAUUCAACUUCAUUUCAUUUAUAAAUUUACAUCAUAAAUGGAGUGUCGGGGCCUUGUUUAACCAGUCCAUUCAGCCUCUAUCCCAGUGUAACCAGUACCCUCAGCCUGUCUGUCCUUGUAUAAUAUAUUGUACAAUAAUUGAACAUAUAUUUUUAGGAGUUCAUACGGUUCGUGUCUCAUGGUGGACUAUUUGUAUUGCUUUUUGAUCAUCUGCAUCUCUUCUGGUUGAUAAGGACACUGAUAAACUUCUCUUUUUUAAAAUAGAUAACAGGAAGUGGUUCCGUUGCUAGGUUGAGCUGUUUUUUCUCAGAUUCAUGCUUUCAUUUUGCCUCAUAGAAAAU